AUUUUUUUUUUUAGUCUACGAUAAAAAAAAAGCUUUGAACUUUUAUAAGGAUUUACUCCUUCGUAGAAAUU
rnacentral:tRNA from 1 species